UACGGGGGGGGCAAGCGUUGUUCGGAAUUACUGGGCGUAAAGGGCUAGUAGGUGGCCAACUAAGUCAGACGUGAAAUCCCUCGGCUUAACCGGGGAACUGCAUCUGAUACUGGAUGGCUUGAGUUUGGGAGAGGGACGCGGAAUUCCAGGUGUAGCGGUGAAAUGCGUAGAUAUCUGGAGGAACACCGGUGGCGAAGGCGGCGUCCUGGACCAACACUGACACUGAAUAGCGAAAGCCAGGAGAGCAAACGGG
rnacentral:rRNA from 1 species